GGUAGACAAUUUGGCUUGAUAGUAGUUAUAUUACUAGGUUUUUAUUUAAUUCUUGUAUUUUUUAUGAAUAUAUUUUUUUUAUUAAUUUUGAAGAAAAAUUUAAUUUUAGUUAUAGAGUAUUAUUGUAUUGUGAAAGAAAUAGGUUUUACUUUUUAGAAGAAAAAUUUAUUUUUUGUACCUUGUGUCUCAGGGUUUAUUAAUUUGUUGUAUAUAUUUAUUUUUCCCGAUUCUCAAAGAGCUAUUACUUUAUUCUUUUAUUGUAUCAUAAAUAUUGUAAAUAAAGUGGUAGAAAUGAAACGUUAUUCGUUUUGAGAUGUAUCUGGUUUUCUGAGAAAUGGAUUUAAUUCAGCUUUUGCUGUUUGUUAUGUUUCAAUUAGUUGAUUCAGAGGGGGCAAGAAGUAAUUUAAGUGGGGAUAAGCUUGCUUGAAAAUUUUUAUUUAAUUUUGAUUUGGCUAGGUUAGUAGGAUUAAAAUUUUUCAUCAUUUGUAGUAUGUUGUAGUUAGCUUAGCUGUUAAAUGAUAUUUUUAUGAUUUAAUAAAUUAUUUAUUGGAAAAUGGAUUUUAAUUUUAUUAAUUGAGAUAUAAUGAUAGAAUUAGUAUAUGUUGUUGUAUUAUUAUGAGGAAUAGUUUGAAAAAUUAAAGGAAUUCGGCAAAUUAGCCUUCACCUGUUUAUUAAAAACAUGGCUUUUUGAUUAUAAUAUAAGGUCUGGCCUGCUCUAUGAUAAUAUUAAAUGGCCGCAGUAAUUUGACUGUGCUAAGGUAGCAUAAUCAUUAGUCUCUUAAUUAGAGGCUGGAAUGAAAGGUUUGAUGAGGGGAUAACUGUCUCUAAUUUUUUUAUAUAAUUUUAUUUUUAAGUAAGAAAGCUUAAAUUUUUUUGAAAGACGAGAAGACCCUGUAGAGUUUUAUAAAUUUUUAUUAUUAUUCAUUUUUGUAAAUUAUAGGGAUAAUGUGGGUGUUUAUUUGAUUGGGGUGAUUGUAAAAUUUGUAAAACUUUUACUUAUAUUAACACUGAUGAGUGAUGUUUUGAUCCGGGAGUGCCGAUUAAAAGAAUAAAUUACCUCAGGGAUAACAGCGUAAUCUUUUUUUAGAGUUCUAAUCGAGAAAGGGGGUUGCGACCUCGAUGUUGGAUUAAAAUUAGCCUAGGGUGCAGAAGUUCUAGAUGCUAGGUCUGUUCGACCUUUAAAAUUUUACAUGAUCUGAGUUUAAACCGGCGUGAGCCAGGUUGGUUUCUAUCUUCAAUUUAUUAGAAAAUUUUAGUACGAAAGGACCAAAUUUUUAGCCUAGGGCUUGGAAGGUGUGAACAAAAUUGUUAUUUUGGCAGAAUAGUGCAAUUGAUUUAGGAUCUUUAAAUGUAAUUAUAUUACAAA
rnacentral:rRNA from 1 species